CAUGCAAGUCGAGGGGUAACAGGGAUUGCUUGCAAUCCGCUGACGACCGGCGCACGGGUGCGUAACGCGUAUACAAUCUGCCUUACACUGGGGGAUAGCCUUUAGAAAUGAAGAUUAAUACCCCAUGGUAUGUGACUGUGGCAUCACAGACACAUUAAAGGUUACGGUGUAAGAUGAGUAUGCGUCCUAUUAGUUUGUUGGUGAGGUAACGGCUCACCAAGGCGACGAUAGGUAGGGGCCCUGAGAGGGGGAUCCCCCACACUGGUACUGAGACACGGACCAGACUCCUACGGGAGGCAGCAGUGAGGAAUAUUGGACAAUGGAGGCAACUCUGAUCCAGCCAUGCCGCGUGCAGGAAGACUGCCCUAUGGGUUGUAAACUGCUUUUAUACGGGAAGAAACCCUCCCACGUGUGGGGGGCUGACGGUACCGUAAGAAUAAGCAUCGGCUAACUCCGUGCCAGCAGCCGCGGUAAUACGGAGGAUGCAAGCGUUAUCCGGAAUCAUUGGGUUUAAAGGGUCCGUAGGCGGACGAUUAAGUCAGGGGUGAAAGUUUGCAGCUCAACUGUAAAAUUGCCCUUGAUACUGGUUGUCUUGAAUUACUGUGAAGUGGUUAGAAUAUGUAGUGUAGCGGUGAAAUGCAUAGAUAUUACAUAGAAUACCAAUUGCGAAGGCAGAUCACUAACAGUAUAUUGACGCUGAGGGACGAAAGCGUGGGGAGCGGACAGGAUUAGAUACCCUGGUAGUCCACGCCGUAAACGAUGGAUACUAGCUGUUGGACUUUCGGGUUCAGUGGCUAAGCGAAAGUGAUAAGUAUCCCACCUGGGGAGUACGUUCGCAAGAAUGAAACUCAAAGGAAUUGACGGGGCCCGCACAGCGGUGGAGCAUGUGUUUAAUCGAUGAUACGCGAGACUACAGGCCUAAUGUAGAGUGACAGUCUAGAGAUAGAUUUUCCUCCGACACUUUACAGUGCUGCAUGAUGGUG
rnacentral:rRNA from 1 species